ACAUUAGCUGUCAUUUCAAAGUAAGGCUAGUAAUUAUGUGGAUUAUUUACUGUGCAAUAUAUAAAGUCAGCCCUACAUGUCCACAGGUUCUACAUCUGCUGAUUCAAACAAGCACGAUUUGAAAAUAUUUAAGAAAUAUUUGCAUCUAUAUUGAACAGGCACAGACUUUUUUCUUGUCAUUAUUUCUUAAAUAACAUUGUAUAGCAACUAUUUAAGUGGGUUUUACAUUAUAUUUGGCAUCAAAAGUAAUCGAGAUGAUUCAAAUAUGUAGGGGAAUGUAUUUAAAUUGUAUGCAAAUACAAUUUUUCUAUAUAUUUCCUAUAGGUUUUUGGGUCCUGGAAUUGGUCCUCCACAGACACCGAGACAAGUGUAUUCAUGAUUGUGUGUUCUCUUCCUCUGCCUAUGAUUCAUAGGUCAUACCAGAAUUAAAUUAAAUGUGUUUGUCUGAAGACCCAGUGGCCUACCUGUUAGGACAAGUCUCUCUUCAUCCAGCAGUUGAACGUAGUGCUACAUUGUUUUUGUUUGUUUGGAAUCAGUGACAGUAUUUUGAAAAUCCUUUAUUUAUUUUGUUUUGAAGGAGGAGAGAUUGAUGUUAAUGUUACAGAAAAGUUUCCAGGAAAUAUUGGAAUAGAAUUUAAAGAUAAAGAACACUGGGAGAUGGUGGAUAAUCUACCAAUUGAUGGAGAGAAGGUUAAUGUGAAUAAUUUGGCCAGCGUUCUGGGGAAAAUGGGGCUUAGUCUCACAGAAAAGGAAAUGAAAAGCCUGACAGAAAACCUUAAAGGAGAAGAAUUUGAUAUUAGUGAUAUGAAAAGUGUCCUAGAAAAUAUGGGCGUAGAACUUAUACCUAAAGGAAGCCUGGAGCAGUUGAACAAUUUACAGGCUGAUGAUGAUGGGAAAGUCUAUGAAAAGAGACUGAUGGAUGAAGUGAAAACUCUUAAAGGAGGGAUUAUUGAUGUCAGUAAGGUGGAUGCUCUUUUGGAAGACACGGGGACAGAUCUCGCAGAAAAGGAAAUUAGUAAUCUGACGCACGGUCCGCCAACUGAUGAAGCAGUUAAUGUCAGUGAUACUGAAAAUGUCCUGGGGACAAUGAAAAUAACUGUCACAGAUAAGGAAGAUGUAGAGCUGGUUAAAAGUCUACAACUUAAUGGUAAUGGAAAAGUCUACAGGAACAUGUUACUGGAUGAUUUGGAUUCUCUUAAUGAAAUUACUAAUGUCACUAAAGUUGAUUCAUCUUUGAAAAAUAUGGAAUGGAAGCUCACAGAAGAAGAAAUUGAAGAUCGGAAAUACAGCCUGCCCAUUGAUGGUAAACAAAUUGACAUCAGUGGUCUUGAAAACAUUCUAGGAAGCAUGGAGGUUGGAGACACAGAAGAGGAAUUCUCAAAUCUUCAGGAAACUCUGCCAAUUGAUGGAGGGAAGAUUGAUGUCAGCAGCAUAGACAUUAUUCCAGAAGAUAUGAAGCUCAAGCCCACAGAAUCACAGGGUAUAGAUCUAUCAGAUAACAUACCAGUUGGUGGUAAGCUUUAUAACAUACAUAUGAUAUAUAUUCAUAUAUAUGAAUUUGUAAAAUUACUAGUUCAUUUAUUAGACAUUUGGGGAAAGCAUAAAAAGACAUCCUGUGUUUUCAUUUUUUAAAAGCUAAUGUCAUAAAUCUCUUCUUAAAGGAGAUAAGGCAUAUCUUACAGUAAAACUAGGACUACUUCCUCACAGCAUGACCUCAAAAUGGUUAGGG
ensembl:lincRNA